rnacentral:rRNA from 1 species
UUCGCAAUGCCCGAAAGGGUGACGAAGCGACGCCGCGUGUGGGAAGAAGGCCUUCGGGUUGUAAACCACUGUCGGGAGUUGAGAAAUACAAGGAUAUUAAUAGUGUCUUUGUUUGACUAAGGCUCCGGAGGAAGCCACGGCUAACUCUGUGCCAGCAGCCGCGGUAAUACAGAGGCGGCAAGCGUUGUUCGGAAUUGCAUUGGGCGUAAAGAGCACGUAGGCGGCUAUGUAAGUCGGUUGUGAAAGCCUUCCGCUCAACGGAAGAACAGCAUCCGAUACUACAUGGCUUGAGUGCGGGAGGGGAGAGUGGAACUUCUGGUGGAGCGGUGAAAUGCGUAGAUAUCAGAAGGAACGCCGGCGGCGAAAGCGGCUCUCUGGCCCUUAACUGACGCUGAGUGUGCGAAAGCUAGGGGAGCAAACGGGAUUAGAUACCCCGGUAGUCCUAGCCGUAAACGAUGGGCACUAAGUAGAGGGGUUA